ensembl:misc_RNA Y_RNA Y RNA
GGCUGGUCUGAGUGAAGUAGUGUAUACAACUAAUUGAGUACAACUAGUUACAGAUUUCUUUGUUCCUUCUCCACUCCCACUGCUUCACCUGACUAGCUUAAA